rnacentral:rRNA from 1 species
UACAGAGGUGGCAAGCGUUGUUCGGAAUUACUGGGUGUAAAGGGCGCGUAGGCGGCCGCCUAAGUCAGACGUGAAAUCCCCAGGCUUAACUUGGGAACUGCGUCUGAUACUGGGUAGCUUGAGUUCGGGAGAGGAAUGUGGAAUUCCAGGUGUAGCGGUGAAAUGCGUAGAUAUCUGGAGGAACACCGGUGGCGAAGGCGGCAUUCUGGACCGGUAUUGACGCUGAGGCGCGAAAGCCAGGGGAGCAAACGGG